AAACCAGCACCUCAAGUGGUCAGGAUGAUUAUUGGGCCUAAAGCAUCCGUAGCUUGCUUUGUAAGUUUUCGGUUAAAUCUGUACGCUCAACGUACAGGCCGCCGGGAAUACUGCAGGGCUAGGGAGUGGGAGAGGUAGACGGUACUCGGGAGGAAGUGGUAAAAUGCUUUGAUCUCUCGAUGACCACCUGUGGCGAAGGCGGUCUACCUGAACACGUCCGACGGUGAGGGAUGAAAGCUGGGGGAGCAAACCGGAUUAGAAACCCCGGUAGUCC
rnacentral:rRNA from 1 species